AGAGCAGGAUGCAGCCAAGGAUGACUUGCCGGCCGGCUGGCCGGCAAUGUCGCCGCCGGCGUGACAUGAUGCUUGCCCGGCAAGUUUGUCCUUGGCUACACCUUGCUCUCU
rnacentral:pre_miRNA from 1 species